AUGCACAAACACACAAAUACCCUAAGCCCUAAAUCAAACCCAAAAUCCCAUUUUUAUUCACAGAUUACAAGAUGGUUACAAGUGGGACAUGAAAUAGAAUUUGCAAACAGAAACGAAAAGGGAAAAAACUCAGGUACGGUACUCCAAUUGAUACUCUUUCGUGAUUCUUCAUCCAAAAUUUCCUGA